rnacentral:rRNA from 1 species
UACGUAGGUGACAAGCGUUGUCCGGAUUUACUGGGCGUAAAGAGCGCGCAGGCGGUCGUUCAAGUCGAGUGUGAAAGCCCCCGGCUCAACUGGGGAGGGUCACUCGAUACUGAUCGACUUGAAGGCAGGAGAGGGAAGCGGAAUUCCCGGUGUAGUGGUGAAAUGCGUAGAUAUCGGGAGGAACACCAGUGGCGAAGGCGGCUUCCUGGCCGUGCUCUUGACGCUGAGGCGCGAAAGCUAGGGUAGCAAACGGG